rnacentral:lncRNA from 1 species
AGCUACAGGCCGACCCUCGCCCCCGGACCCUGUCGGGGACCAAAGCGGGCGUGCUCUUGGUCUGCGAGCCAGCGGGGCCAGUGUACACGGGCGGGCUACGCGGCGGCCUGACACCCGAGGAGACUAUGCGGCUGAGGGCCCUGGGAGCUGAGGAGUCCGCUGUGGAAGACACAUCACAUCCCACGGCCUGGCUCUGAAUUGUUCUACCGACCUCACGUGGUUUGAGCACAUCGUGCCUUGUGGACUGGUUGGGACUGGAGUCACUUCACUGAGUGAGGCACUUCAGAGACUCGUCACUGUGGAUGAAGUAAUGCCAUCUUUCCUUGUGGCCUUCAAGGAGACUUUCAAGUGCACGUUAAUCUCAGAGGACAGGCCCAGCUGAAGGACAUUCAUUCACCUUAGCCUGGGAUGACGGUUCUGCAAUGGAAAGCUUCUAGUCCGAGUCCCUAGAACUACUCUUUGAUUUUUCUGACCAUGACUGAGGACAGAUCCUGAGCUAUUGCUGCCGUAUCUCUCCCCACCUACCUCAGGGGUCGUUAUGGAAACACUAUGAGAAGUCACAUGCUACGUAAAGCAUCCCUGUGACCUGUUAACGGAGACACUCCAGUGUUAUUAUAAACUGCCAUUUCCUAAUUACUUGCUACUUUUUCAGUGCUGUAUCUAACAGCAAUUUUGGUUGUUAGGUCUUUGAGUUGCGUGGGAACCAAAUCUCUGUGAAGAGAUAAAGUUACUUUGUUCUCAAAAAAAAAAAAAAAAAAAAAAC